GACGAACGCUGGCGGCAUGCCUAACACAUGCAAGUCGAACGAGACCUUCGGGUCUAGUGGCGCACGUGUGCGUAACGCGUGGGAACCUGCCCUUAGGUUCGGAAUAACUCCCCGAAAGGGGUGCUAAUACCGGAUAAUGUCUUCGGACCAAAGAUUUAUCGCCUGUUGAUGGGCCCGCGUUGGAUUCGCUAGUUGGUAGGGUAAAAGCCUACCAAGGCGACGAUCCAUAGCUGGUCUGAGAGGAUGAUCAGCCACACUGGGACUGAGACACGGCCCAGACUCGUAGGGGAGGCAGCAGUGGGGAAUAUAGGACAGUGGGCGAAAGCCUGAACCAGCAAGGCCGGGUGAGUGAUGAAGGCCUUAGGGUUGUAAAGCUCUUUUACCCGGGAGGAUAAUGACAGUACCGGGAGAAUAAGCUCCGGCUAACUCCGU
rnacentral:rRNA from 1 species